CCUACGGGAGGCUGCAGUGAGGAAUAUUGGUCAAUGGCCGGAAGGCUGAACCAGCCAUGCCGCGUGAAGGUCAGUGCCCUAUGGGCGUUAAACUUCUUUUGUGCGGGAGCAAUAGUGGUCACGUGUGGCCAGACGAGAGUACCGUACGAAUAAGCAUCGGCCAACUUCGUGCCAGCAGCCGCGGUAAUACGGGGGAUGCAAGCGUUAUCCGGGUUUUUUUGGUUUAAAGGGUGCGUAGGCUGUGAGGUAAGGCAGCGGGGAAAUGCCCGCGCUCAACGGGGUGAAUUGCCAUUGAUACUGGCUUGCUGGAAUGCGGAUGAGGUGGGAGGAAUGUGUGGUGUAGCGGUGAAAUGCUUAGAGAUCAUACAGAACACCGAUUGCGAAGGCAGCUUACCAAGCUACUUCUGACGUUGAGGCACGAAAGCGUGGGGAGCAAACAGGAUUAGAUACCCGAGUAGUC
rnacentral:rRNA from 1 species